rnacentral:misc_RNA from 1 species
GAACGCACCUUGCGCCUCUUGGUAUUCCGAGGGGCAUGCCUGUUUGAGUGUCAUUGAAACCCUCAAGAGGGGAGGCUUUUUGUGCCUUCUUCUUUUGGAAUUGGAGUGUGCUGGCCUUUUUUUUUUUUAGAAGCCCAGCUCCUCUGAAAUGCAUUAGCGAUGUGACAUCCUCGUGCCAUCACGCUUCUCCAGCAUUGAUAAGUCUCUUUCAUGCUCGAGUGUGUUGUGCUUAGGUGGAAAGUUUUGCUCGCUCACAGACCCAUUGGGGGCUUUGCCUCCCCCAUGCUUCUGACCAAAUUAACCUCAAAUCAGGUAGGAUUACCCGCUGAACUUAAG